GGAGCAUGCGGAUUAAUCGAUGCAACGCGAAGAACCUUACCAAGGCUUGACAUACACCGGUAACGCCCAGAGAUGGGUGCCCCUUUGUGGUCGGUGUACAGGUGGUGCAUGGUUGUCGUCAGCUCGUGUCGUGAGAUGUUGGGUUAAGUCCCGCAACGAGCGCAACCCUCGUCCUAUGUUGCCAGCGGGUCAUGCCGGGGACUCAUGGGAGACUGCCGGGGUCAACUCGGAGGAAGUGGGAUGACGUCAAAUCAUCAUGCCCCUUAUGUCUUGGGCUUCACGCAUGCUACAAUGGCCGGUACAAAGGGCUGCGAUACCGCGAGGUGGAGCGAAUCCCAGAAAGCCGGUCUCAGUUCGGAUUGGGGUCUGCAACUCGACCCCAUGAAGUCGGAGUCGCUAGUAAUCGCAGAUCAGCAACGCUGCGGUGAAUACGUUCCCGGGCCUU
rnacentral:rRNA from 1 species